rnacentral:rRNA from 1 species
UACGGAGGAUCCAAGCGUUAUCCGGAAUCAUUGGGUUUAAAGGGUCCGUAGGCGGUCUUUUAAGUCAGAGGUGAAAUCCUACAGCUCAACUGUAGAAUUGCCUUUGAUACUGAAAGACUUGAGUUAUUGUGAAGUAGUUAGAAUGUGUGGUGUAGCGGUGAAAUGCAUAGAGAUCACACAGAAUACCGAUUGCGAAGGCAGAUUACUAACAAUAUACUGACGCUCAUGGACGAAAGCGUGGGGAGCGAACAGG